UAAUAAUAAUAAAAACCGAAACCCGCCCGUUACCCUGAAUCCACUCACUUCGCUUCCCCUCGGACCCCUCCUCUCCUUUCUCCUCUCCUAUGGCUUCUCUCGAUCCAAACCCUAACCCUAACCCUAGAAAUCCCAAUUGAUCACGACAGAUCCCCGCCCUUCGAUGGAGGAGGAGCGAUUUCCCUCAUCGCGGGAGAACCCUAGGACCUCCGUCGCCGCCGCGGCGUUCCCCCAGGCCGAGCGCCCUCCGCGAGCGAUUGCGGCAGCGGCGGCGGACGCGAGGCCCUCGCCGCCGAUCCUGGAGCGGUUCCGGGCCAUGAUUCGGGAAAGAGAGGAGGAGAUGAGUGAGGUGUUGGACGGGGACCCCCCGCCGCCGCCCACAGCCGCCGAGGUCGUGCGGAUGUACGAGGAGGUACUCGCGGAGCUCACCUUCAACUCGAAGCCCAUCAUCACGGAGCUCACCAUCAUCGCAGGGCAACACAUCCAGUUUGCCCAGGGGAUCGCCAACGCCAUCUGCGCGAGGAUUCUCGAGGUGCCGAUGGAUCAAAAACUACCAUCUUUAUAUCUUCUAGAUAGUAUAGUGAAGAACAUAGGCCAGGAUUAUGUGAGGCAUUUUGCAUCUCGGCUCCCCAAGGUGUUUUGUGAAGCGUACAAUCAGGUCCAUCCUAGUCUUUAUUCAGCGAUGCGCCACCUGUUUGGUACUUGGUCGCAAGUUUUCCCCUCUUCAGUUCUUCGCAAGAUUGAGGACGCGCUCCAAUUUUCUCCCCGAGAGAAUCAACGAUCACUGGGAAUUGCUAAUCUGAGACAAUCUGAAUCCCCAUCUCCUCGCCCUUCUCAUGGCAUUCAUGUUAAUCCAAAGUACCUAGAAGCGCGAAACCAAUUUAAGUCCUCUACGAUGGACAUCCAGCAUAUAAGGGGAGUUUCUUCUAAAUCUGGUGACUUGGAAUAUGAUCAUUCUGGGUCACUCCCUCCACGUGUUCCAAUGGCAGGAGUGGGCUCACCAGGUUAUACAGCCACUCAUACCAAUCUAGAAGGGUCGUUACUUCACUCAAGAAGCAACAUACCAAAGGUUCUGUCACCUUCAAGAAUCGGGAUGAGGCGGUCUAGAUCACCUCCUGGUGAUCUUUACCCACCCGUCAGCCCCCCUAGGAGAGUUAUUGAAAGGCCAUCUCCAUCUCGUACUGGAUUUGGAUAUGGGCGUGGCAGAGUAGCAGAUCAAAAUGGCAUUUUUGAGAUGCCUUCAGAGGCUUCUAAGGCAUACAAGCUUAAUAAUGGAUUUGGGAAGCAGAAUGCAAGGGAACUUAUUGAUGCAUAUGGAAAUUAUAGAGGCAAAGAUGAAAAGUUGCCAAAGUUGCAAAGGCUCGACACUAACGGAAACGUGGGUGAGGCAACUGCAAUAAAAUGGAAAACUUCAGAUGAGGAAGAGUAUGUGUGGGAGGAUAUGAGCCCAACUUUAGCCGAUCGAAGCAGGAGAAACAGCCUGCCCCCCAUUGGGCCUAGUAGCGGAAUGCUUAGCUCGGGACCUGGGUUUAGUAGACCUAAUGCUGGAAUAAUGAAUACUGAUUUUGUUAGGCAUAGCUGGCCUGGCCAAGGCCAGCUGGCGGCAAUUGAUGAUCCUGUUCUUAAUGUUGAAGAUAGACUCCCAGUCGCUGGUUCUGGUCAUGAAGUAAACAAGAAAUAUCCCCAGAGUGCUCGUCAUCACAACGAGUCUUUCUCAUACUAUCAGAGUUCUUCUUACCACUCUCAAGAACCUUCAAAGUUGCCUCACAUGCUUCGGCCAACCUCGCAGCAGAGCCUUGAUCCAUUGUCACGGGUACCGGCACCUCAAAUGGCUUCUGGAUUAAGCAGAGUAGCACCAUCGAUCACUCAGAAACUGACUAUUCCAUAUGAUACUCCACUUGAUAAUGAAGUGCCAUUUCAGAGGUCAUCAACUGCUUAUUCCGAUCAGCCGAAUGAGAAGCAGUUAGCACAGAGGGCACAUUCACCUAUUCCCGGUCCACUAGAAUGGCCUCCUGUUCGUAAAUCUGAGAUGCAACUUUUACCCUCUAUUCCACCAAAUUUAAAUCAUUUUAAAAGUGCAGCAGAUUUUUUAGAAACUAACAGGACGUCAGUGAAUCAAGGACCCAAUCCCUCUUUGAUAUUGCCUCAGCAGCAAUAUAAUACAAGUAAAUUAGUGCAAUUGCCUUAUCAACCACCUGUUUCAUCUCAUGCUAAUCAACAAAGUCAGGGAGGGGUUGUUAUGAGAAGCCAGUCUCAAGAGGCUGAUGGAAGCUAUGUUCAUAAUGUGCAAGCUCAGCUGCCAGCUCAGAGUCCAGCUACCUUUGGUGCUGUUCAGCCCCUAACUCAUAUUUUGGCAAAAGGUCAUGGUAUUGCUGCAGCUCCAGUUUUGCCUAAUUCGUUACCUGCAAUGCCUAGUUCUGUGCCCCUGCACAAUUUGCCCCCUUUGCAUAGUAGCGGAGUUUUGCCUCCUUUGCCUCCAGGCCCACCUCCUACUUUUUUGCAGACGGGGCCCUCAGCCCAAAUUGCGGGCCCCGUCAUAUCUAACUCAACCUCAAUUGCAUUUCCAGGACUCCUUAGUACGCUGAUGGCACAAGGUUUGAUUAAAUUGACACCUCCGGCACAAUCUCAGGACUCUGUGGGAAUUGAGUUUAACACCGAACUUCUAAAAGUGCGGCACGAAUCAGCUAUUAACGCACUGUACUCCGAUCUUCCUAGACAAUGCACUACAUGUGGCCUGCGUUUCAAGUUCCAAGAAGAGCACAGUAGUCACAUGGAUUGGCAUGUGACCAAAAACCGAAUAUCUAGGAAUCGUAAACAGAAACCCUCGCGCAAAUGGUUUGUUAGCGCCAAGGAAUGGCUCAGUGGGGCGGAAACAUUAGGAAACGAUUUUGUUCCUGGUUUCUUGCCCACAGAAGCAGCUGUAGAGAAGAAGGAAGAUAAGGAAAUGACAGUCCCUGCGGAUGAGAAGCAGAAUGUGUGCGCGUUAUGUGGGGAGCCUUUUGAGGAUUUUUACAGUGAUGAGAAUGAGGAGUGGAUGUAUAAGGGUGCAGUAUAUAUGAAUGCCCCGGAUGGUAACUUUGAAGGGUUGGAUAGUUCGCAGCUAGGCCCUAUUGUUCAUGCUAAAUGCAGGUCUGAAUCUGGCGAUGCUUCCGGACAAACUUAAUUGGGAAAUAAUGGGAUAGAAGAUCAACUCAAACUGUUGAGGAUUGCGGCAUUAGAUUACUUAAUCUGUAAAUUAUCUCGAGAUUUAGAGGUUGUUAUGCAAGGACCUGAGCUUUUAUAAUUGAUGCCCGAUGAGUUCGAUAUUUUAGGUCGAGACAUGUUCAUUUGGAGAGGAAUCAUAUGAGGUCCUUUAAACAAAGAUCCAUUCUCAAAUUGUUGACUUCAUCUUCUCUUCCCCACCUCCUCUUUUUUUUUUUCCCUCCGUAUUUCGUUCAGUAUCACACAGGGAGUAUCAAUCAUUUGCAAUUAAAGUGCAUGAAGAAGAGAGACUAUCUGGCAUUUUCGAAGCAGCUACACUAAUAUAUAUUUGCUUUUCUCCCAAAUAUUUUAUCCACGAGGCCUAGUAAAGGCUGCGAUACUGCUGUCGCUAUAAAAGAUUUUUGAGUUUCUGUGGGUAAAUUCUUAUGUGUUGGGAAAUUCUCGUAUCCGUUCCAUUUUGUAUAUAUUCGACUAUGGUCUCCGUUAUACUGUGUUAAAACACUUGUAAUGGCUGUUGCAGCGCCUAGUGCUUAAUUAUUUUGUUUCAGAAUAAGCUUGUGCAUCAA